rnacentral:rRNA from 1 species
AUGAUGGGAGGUUCUCCACCUGUGACCAUACUAACAGAUCAGAACCGGGCUAUGGAGCUAGCGAUCAAGAACGUUAUGCCAAACACGACCGACCGAUGGUGCAAGUGGCAUAUCCUGAAAAAGGCAAAAGAGACACUCGGUAGUUUGUACACAAAGAAAAGUGAAUUCAGGGCUGAAUUUUAUAAGGUGAUAAAGCACAUGCUGUCGGAAGAUGAGUUUGAAAAAGGUUGGGAGAUGUUGCUGGACAAGUACAAGCUGAGAUCUCAUCCGUACAUGACAAACCUGUUUGAGAUUCGUAAGAAAUGGGCGAAACCUUAUUUUAAGGGCGUUUUCUGUGCGAAGAUGACUAGCACCCAGAGGAGUGAGAGUGCAAACCAUAUGCUAAACGGACCAGAUUUUGCACGAUUUGUCGUAGGCAAGGUCACAAGAACUGUCGUAGGAAGCCAGCUAGAUGCAAGAACUGUGGCGUCGAAGGUCAUCGACGAAACAAUUUUCAUAAAGCAAUGGCAGUAG